GGAGUUUUAGAGACACAGACAUACAGAGGAAAGAUAAUCAUGUGAAGGCUGAGGGAAAAAUUGAGCUACAAGCCAAGGAAUGCCAAGGAUUGCAAGCAGCCACCAGACGUUAGGAGGAUGUAAGGAAAGCACCCAGACCAGAUUAUGGACACAAUAAAUAUCAGUUGAAUUAAUUGCAAUGCAAUAUGAUAAAUGCUGCUACUGAGUUACAGAAAGAAGGACACAUCUAUGGUCUCAUAUGCUUUGGAACGGUCUAAGAAACAGAAAUGGUGAAAGAGCCUCCUCAAGAACAGACAUAUUCCUCAGUGGGGAGCUCACGGACAUUCUUCUUCUUAACCUCAUUAGUACCCUUUCAUGUACAAUUUGCUGACUAACGUGAUCUUAAGUGGAAAAGCUGUUGCGAACAGGUGACUUUCCCUCUGCACUCACAGAAAUAUUUCCAAGAGAACCUCUGGUGAACACAUCUACAUUUCAGGCACUUGCUUGCCCAAUGCCAUCUGUUCCGACAUAGAAAAUUCUCUAGGAACCCGAAGAACGAUGUAAUGAGGGAAUCUAACUCUUAUCUGUCAUAAACUUUUAAGAUAUUUUUGUUCAUCUGGCUUUAAAAAGAAAUUGAAGAUUCUUAUAAAGAGACAAUGUCUUUUGACAUUAUGAACUUACAAAAAAAUAAUCAGCUUAAUUUAAUAUUCCUUUAAGAAAUAUAAACAUAUUGUAAACUAAAACAUCAACAUCUAG